CCCCUCCCCCUAUGACCUCCUGCAAGACCCAGAACCAGCCCCCACGUCCCCCUCUCGCCGGAGCCCCCAGAGCCCCAGCACUGGGUGGGGGUGCAUGUCGGCCCGAUCGCAGUCCCCAGAACCCCCAAAUGGAGGCCAAGGCUGGAGGGUGAUAGGAAGAGGAUCGGCCAGGCGUGGAGGGGGCCCCUGGCGCCGUGCGCGGGUUGUUACCUUCUGUGACCCCCACAACCUGCUCCCAGAUGGGUGUUGGUAAGUGCCUCUGAUUUUUGUUUCCACAAACAGGGAUACUGAGGCCAGUGCCGAAUGGGAGGUGAAUAUAUAUAUUUUUUUAAUGCCUUGCGGGGGGUGGGGGGGGGAUGUCAAGUCUAUGGUUUAAAUAGAGUUAAAAACUCUCAAAGAAAAAAACAGCCCUGUUCUGUUCUGCUUCCCACAUCAGAGCAAUCUCCGCCCCCAGUCCAACUCACUUCCCUGGGGCCACAUCAAGCCAGGUUUUUCCACCAGCCAAAGACCUCAUCAGCCAAACAGUGCUGGAUCUCCCAGACUGGCAACAACCUCUGUUUAUCCACCCCUUUCUUCACUCCCCCUCUGGGCUGGAGGGUUGGUCACUUUUUUCUUUCCCAGGACCCUGCUGUCCUCUUCCUGCUCUGCAGAGAGGAUAUCUUUCCCAGGAAGCCUGGGGGACACCCAGUGCCUUCUUUUAGCUCCUUCAUGCAUGCUUUGAGAGGUUCACUCACCUUUACAGGAAUGGGUGUGUGAUCAAGCCCAGAACCCUGGGGGAAGAGGGGCAGUCACAUCAUCUGUUCUCCCUGCCCCAACCCAUAGCUGAACUCCCACAAAGCUGGAGAGUAAGUUUUUCAUUCCCAUGCACACCCCUCACAACCUUUUAAGUUCACAGCUAUCUAUCUAGAAAGCCACAUUCUUAGUUAGGAGCCCAACACCUUAAAGAUCAAUUCUUCAUCUGGUCUCCACACCCCUAAGCACAGUGUUCCUCAGGAAAGUGGGGGAGGGGAGGCAUGCCUGUGAAGGAAUAUGGCUUCAAUAAGUUACUUCCUAUACAAUGACAGCAACGGGAGUAAAUACACAAGAUCUUUUUUAUUAAUUAAUAAAACAAAAAAGAUGAAAAACAGAAGCAACAAAUGAA